AACCCAUGCGGAGGACAUUUUCGCAUUAGAUCCUUGAAAUCUCAUGUCUCGAAAAGAGACUCCAAUUCCAUUUGCACAAAGGAGAAUAUUUCAUUCCUGAGCUU